UAUAUCUGAAGUCUAACUCCUGGAGUUCCACCUCACUUCCUCCCAUCAAACGUCAGCCUUGCAGCUUUAACGUCCUCAGAGGGAAGCAGGAAACCCACAAGCCACCUGAAACACAGAAGUGGAACAUUUGAACAGAUGUUGGUCCUGUAGGUCAGCCACCCGAGUAUCUGAAACACCAUGACCAGCGUCAACUCUCCUGCCAGUCUGCUCGCUCGUAACCACUUUUACAGAAGUCUGACUCCAAGUUCAGAGCUGAUUAAACCAACAUCUGUCCUCAGCUGUCAGAACCACUUUGGUGUGCACAGAGAGGUCACUGUUUGGGUCACCGUGGCAACACCUCCCGAAUUACCUGUUGUCAUGGAAACCACAGGAUUAUGGAUAAACAUUGUUCUGGGCUCCAAACCAGCCAACCCUGCUGACCGGCGUGUUAAGUAGAGGAAAGCGAGACCGAGCGUAGAAGGACGACAGUUUGUUGGACAUCCAGACUAAUGAAGAGAAAAAUGGCUCCUUCUCUCUCACUUUCGAUGACCCUCUGAGCAUUCGGUGAACUAGAAAAACUGCAGCGUAAAAGAACAAAUGAGCCACAAAGUAAAUCCUCUUUUCAAGCGUUCAGCUCCAUGGUGCAUGGGGGCCACUUUGCAGCAGCAUCGCUCAUUGUUUGUUUUUCCUUUCUUUCAAUGACACAGAGACUGGAGGGGUGAAUGGGAUGUAGCUGUGCUUAUGUAAGCCUAUUUUACACUCGUUUGGGGAAAUCCUUGUGUCAGGAUUUGUGGUACUCUUCAGUCAGCAGCGAGGUUCGGGUCAGAACCAUUCGAUCAUAAAUAGCUUGAUGUAUUAGAGAACAAAGGGAUGAACAAUUAAGUUAGUUUUUCCUGCAUUAUCACAAUUCCAAUAGGGAAUUAUUAAAUCAGAAUCAAACCAAUCGAUUGUUUAUGUGAGAACAUUUUCAGUCAUUUGCUCCAUUCAGUGUUUACUAUUUAUUUUACUGGACUUGGUGUUACUUCGACCAAACAAAAUAACUACAGUUUCCUUCUCAUUAAACCUUAACAUUUAGCAACAUCCCCAGAUUGAUAUUAUUAAAGCAUUCUAAUAUAGAUUUAGUGGAGUUUGAGUUAUUUUGCAUUGAGGGUGCAUACAUGUAACAGUCAUGUGUGGUAGAAGAACAUCCCAUGUUUCCUCAGAGCAGAGUCCUGAGUGAAAACGGGCUCAGUAUUGAACCUUGUGGUACUCCAUAAAGAGAGAGGUGCUACAAAUGACACAGAAUAAUCAAUAUUAAGUAAUUAAAAAGAAAACCCCCACCCUACCACCUCAGCUGGCUCCUGUGGAGGACCAGUGAAUCUAUCCUGAGCUCAUCCCAGAAACUUGGCUGAUUCCUGAAGGUCAGGAAGCUGCUUCUGUUUGACAUCUUGUCUUUUGUUUGGUUACGUUGGCCAGACAUGAGGGUUAGACUAGAGUUAGAGUAGUGGAAUGGGUGUGCAGAGUUCCUGGUAUUUGACUAUGUUAGGGGUCUGAAAACUAUGAAUAAAUUCAGUUUCCAUUUUUUCUGUAUUUGAAAUUUAUUUCCAGUAAUUAUUCAGGUGCUCUUUAGCAAACUGUCAUUGUAAUGUUGGACACUGAAAUGCAAUAUGGAUUCACGUUUUUCUUCUUUUCUUUCCCCAAAACCCAACAAUAAAAAUGUUUAAUCAG